rnacentral:sRNA from 1 species
UAAGAUACGAGAAUCAUUUGAUUUAAAUU